ACUGCUUCUCGGCCUUUUGGCUAAGAUCAAGUGUAGUAUCUGUUCUUAUCAGUUUAAUAUCUAAUAUCUCUAUCCGAGGACAAUAUACUAAAUGGAUUUUUGGAGCAGGGAGAUGGAAUUGCAGUACUUCUAGGAAUGGUGCAACCCCUCAGGGGACAAAAAAAAAAAAAGACUACAUAUU
ensembl:snRNA U2 U2 spliceosomal RNA